GUAGGUGGCAAGCGUUGUCCGGAAUUAUUGGGCGUAAAGCGCGCGCAGGCGGUCCUUUAAGUCUGAUGUGAAAGCCCACGGCUCAACCGUGGAGGGUCAUUGGAAACUGGGGGACUUGAGUACAGAAGAGGAAAGCGGAAUUCCAAGUGUAGCGGUGAAAUGCGUAGAGAUUUGGAGGAACACCAGUGGCGAAGGCGGCUUUCUGGUCUGUAACUGACGCUGAGGCGCGAAAGCGUGGGGAGCAAACAGGAUUAGAUACCCUGGUAGUCCACGCCGUAAACGAUGAGUGCUAAGUGUUAGGGGGUUUCCCGCCCCCUUAGUGCUGCAGCUAACGCAUUAGGCACUCCGCCUGGGGAGUACGGCCGCAAGGCUG
rnacentral:rRNA from 1 species